GAUGAACGCUAGCGGCAGGCCUAAUACAUGCAAGACGAACGGUAAGUUGAGUAGCAAUACUUAGCCAAGAGUGUCGUACGGGUGCGUAACACGUAUGCAACCUACCCUAUACAGGAGGAUAGCCUAGGGAAACCUGGAUUAACCCUUCAUAGUAUUAUUGGAUGGCAUCAUUUGAUAAUUAAAACUGAGGUGGUAUAGGAUGGGCAUGCGUCUGAUUAGUUAGUUGGCGGGGUAAUGGCCCACCAAGACGAUGAUCAGUAGGGGUUCUGAGAGGAAGAUCCCCCACACUGGCACUGAGAUACGGGCCAGACUCCUACGGGAGGCAGCAGUAGGGAAUAUUGGUCAAUGGAUGCAAGUCUGAACCAGCCAUGCCGCGUGCAGGAAAGAAGGCCUUCUGGGGUUGUAAAACUGCUUUUGCCAGGGGGAUAAAAUUUCCAUGCGUGG
rnacentral:rRNA from 1 species